AGAGAGAGACAUGCGCGCAUAUCAAUAAGCGGAGGAAAAGAAACUAACAAGGAUUCCCCUAGUAACGGCGAGUGAAGCGGGAAGAGCCUCAAAGUUUGAAAUCUUAAAGGGUUUCCCUUUACGAAUUGUAGUUUAAAGAAGUGUUUUCUGUUGAGGUUUUGGUAAAAGUUCUUUGGAAUAGGACAUCAUAGAGGGUGAGAAUCCCGUAUUUGACCUUUACUUUCAACUUUGUGAUACACUUUCAAAGAGUCGGAUUGUUUGGGAAUGCAGUCCAAAAUGGGUGGUAAAUUUCAUCUAAAGCUAAAUAUUGGCGAGAGACCGAUAGCGAACAAGUACCGUGAGGGAAAGAUGAAAAGAACUUUGAAAAGAGAGUUAAACAGUACGUGAAAUUGUCAAAAGGGAAGCGUUUGACACCAGUGUUGUUUUUCUGAAAAUCAAUUAAAGAACUGUUUAUGCUAAGUUGUUUAGACUUUAUCAGCUAACUGUUUAGUUUUGAGCUUUUCUUUAAUGCACUUUUCAGUUAACAAGUCAACAUCAAUUUCUUUUGCUGUAAAAAAGCUUGAGGAAGGUGGCUUGAGAUUCGUCUUAAGUGUUUAUAGCCUCUUGCCUAUGCAGUCGGAGAGAUUGAGGUCUGCAGCGUAGAUCCUUCGGGGCUAAAUGCAUUUGUGCUAAGUUAUAGCAUUUUAUAGACAACUUGUUGACUAUGAUUUGUCUUGUAGCUUACUCGCUUAUGUUAUUUUACCUACGCUUAGGAUGUUGAGCGCAUGUCUCUCUCU
rnacentral:rRNA from 1 species